rnacentral:lncRNA from 1 species
GUCCAUCUCUCUCACCUCUAUCAUAGAUAACCCGCUACGCCGCCUCUAAGAGAAUCCUCCAUUAUCACCGACGAGAUAGCUCCAAUCUCCUCAAAAAUCCGGCUAUGCAACCAUCACCCCUCUUUGCAUCCUAAUGCACCACCAUUUUUCCCAAAGUCCUCGCCAAAUUAGACCUGUUUCAAAUCUGGAAUCGAAGAAGAUGAAAAUCUCUCAAGUCCUCGAGUUCUUGUGAACGAUUUGGCUUGAAACGAGUAUUGCUCGUUUGUUCUUAAAGAGAACAUAUGGUUAAUACCAGUUUCGAGUCAAGUCAGAGUCGUUUGAGGUUUUUUAUGAAUUGUCCAUAUGGCCUUCGACGUAUUUCCUUUGUUUUUUGCCCCUUCGUCUCUAUCUGUUAUUUGCUCAUACCCUUUUAUUUUUUUUCUCUUUUCUGUCUAUUUUUACAUGUCCCUCUCCCUUUCUUCUUCUUCUUUAGUUUGAUUUCUUGGUCAGAAUUUGGUGAAGUAUUAAAAUAUUGAAUAUAGGUUUCUUUGUUUAUAUGGUGGUCAUACACAUUCUGUGAGCUUUUCAAUUUUCUUGUAGAUAUUCUCGAGAAUAAUGUAUAGUUGUGCAUAUGGUUCAGUUGUGUAAUUUU